GUUGGCCGGCCUGUCGCCGCCGCAAGGUGGAGGAAAGUCUGGGCAACACAGAGCGUCCCCCUUCUUAAAAGGAAGUUGUCCGUGAGGGCAAGUCAAGCGCAGAAGAAAAUAACCGCCCGCCAGUCGGGUAAGGGUGAGAAGGCGGGGUAAGAGCCCACCAAUCCUGUGGUGACGCAGGAGUUGUGCGCCCGGGGAGUUGCAAGACCAAGUAAACCGGCAUCAAGGAUUGCUCGUCCGUGCCGGAGGGUAGGUUGCUGGAGCAUGGUGGUGACAUCAUGUCGAGAUAAAUGACAGGCGCGGUCCUUGUGACCGUACAGAACCCGGCUUACAGGCCAACUGUU
rnacentral:RNase_P_RNA from 1 species